rnacentral:rRNA from 1 species
AGUGGGUAGUCCGCACGAGCGCACCUUACUUUUAGUUGCCAUCAUUUAGUUGGGCACUCUGAAAGAACUGCCAGUGAUAAGCUGGAGGAAGGUGGGGAUGACGUCAAGUCCUCAUGGCCCUUACGUGUUGGGCUACACACGUGCUACAGUGGUAUCUACAACAGGAAGCAAAACAGCGAUGUUAAGCAAAUCCCGAAAAGAUACCUCAGUUCGGAUUGCACUCUGCAACUCGAGUGCAUGAAGCUGGAAUUACUAGUAAUCGUGGAUCAGCGUGCCACGGUGAAUACGUUCCCGGGUCUUGUACACACCGCCCGUCACACCAUGGGAGUUGGUUCUACCUUAAGGCAAAGCUUAAAACCUUUGACCACGGUAUAGUCAGCGACUGGGGUGAAGUCGUAACAAGGUAGCCGUAGGGGAACCUGCGGCUGGAUUACCUCCUUUCU